CAUUCUCACGUUGAUCUCUCCCUUCUCGUUUUUUUUGUGCUGCCAGCCUCUCCCUUCCUCUCACCCAAAUCUUACUCCCUCUUCAUCUGUCAUGGACAGCCAUCACUUAAUCGUCCCUCUAGCCACCAUGUACUCCUUUAAUUGUGCCUUUUUCCAACAAGAAUUUAAGGUAAAAAUCUAAGCUUUUAUCUCAAUUUCUUCUAUAAAAUCCUUUGGGUUUUGUUAUUUAAUGAUUAUUAUAGUGAAUACUUGAUGGGUUUUGGUGAAUAAUGGAAGAUUAGAGGGUUAAGAUGAUUUGGGUAGCAAUGGUUUUGUUAAAAUCCGAAAAUUUCGUAUCAUAUGAAGAGUUUUUGCUUUGAUAAAAGGUUUUGGUUGAUUAGUUUCCUAAUGGGUAUUUGAGGGUUGCAUAAAUGUUGCAUAAAUGUUGUCUAUGGAUUAGACACGCUUUUGGAAACUACCUAUGAAAACUAUAUUUUUCUAAAAACUAUUGUGUCGUAACCUUAAUAUAUAUAUAUAUAUAUAUAUAUAUAUAUAUAUGAACAUGCAUCAUAUUUGGUAUUGCAUUUGGGAAAAUACAUGAAUUGUUGAUAUGGAAAAAUGAGCAUCUUCUAUUUAAUAUUUGAUAAGGAAAUCAUGGAUUUUAUAGUAUAUUAAAAAAUUUAAAGAUGCUUAUCUUGUCUUGUUAUGAGAGAAAGUGAUAGAAAAUCUUUUGACAAGAAUGAAGUUGAAAACCCUACAAACUUUGUGGAAGUUAGAUUAUUUAAGGUUUUUCUAAAAUUACCUAGAAAUAUACUAUGUAUUUGAAUGUAAUGUAACCUGUGAGCUUUAUGUGGUUUUAACACCAUGUCAUGUGUGAUUUCUCGGUGAUCACCCGAUUUGGUUUCCGUAGUCUUGGUUUUCAAGUCAGUGCCCUUUCACUUUGGAUGACACGUUCUUCCCUACUACCCAUGGGGGGAAGAGGUUUCUUGAUUGUGUGUAGGUGAGGUUGCUGCCCAUGGAGCCAAGAGACCACAUGCAAGAGAGGUCCUAUUUGACGCGCUCUCUUUGCUGCCCAUGGAAGGAGAGAAAAACCUCGAGGGUAUGGGUGAGGCUGCUGUGUAUGGGGCCAAGAGUCUGCAUACUAGAGAGGACAAUAUCAUGCUAGUUGUGGAUGGGUGGAUCCCCUGACCGGUCUAUGUAGUAGUAUGGUACCUGCAUUCGCCAAAGAAGAUCACCGCAAGCCGGGAAUUGACGUCGAUUUUUGUGGAAAUUUUGACGAGCCUCUUCAACCUCAGCUCGCUCUUCCGGUGUGCCACCCUCCGGGUCAAACUCCCAUGUUUGUCUUCCCGCAAAG